UACGUAGGGUGCGAGCGUUAAUCGGAAUUACUGGGCGUAAAGCGUGCGCAGGCGGUUUGCCAAGUCAGAUGUGAAAGCCCCGGGCUUAACCUGGGAAUGGCGUUUGAAACUGGCAGGCUAGAGUUUGGCAGAGGGGGGUGGAAUUCCACGUGUAGCAGUGAAAUGCGUAGAGAUGUGGAGGAACACCGAUGGCGAAGGCAGCCCCCUGGGCCAAAACUGACGCUCAUGCACGAAAGCGUGGGGAGCAAACAGG
rnacentral:rRNA from 1 species